CGUUACGGGUCCGGACCGGCGCACGGGUGAGUAACGCUAUCCAACCUGCCCUUUACUAUGGGACAGCCCGUCGAAAGGCGGAUUAAUACCGUAUGUUGUCAUGUUGAUGCAUAUUUUCAUGACCAAAGGCUUCGGCCGGUAAAGGAUGGGGAUGCGUCUGAUUAGCUUGCCGGCGGGGUAACGGCCCACCGGGGCGACGAUCAGUAGGGGUUCUGAGAGGAAGGUCCCCCACAUUGGAACUGAGACACGGUCCAAACUCCUACGGGAGGCAGCAG
rnacentral:rRNA from 1 species